AGAGUUUGAUCAUGGCUCAGAUUGAACGCUGGCGGCAGGCCUAACACAUGCAAGUCGAGCGGCAGCACAGAGGAACUUGUUCCUUGGGUGGCGAGCGGCGGACGGGUGAGUAAUGCCUGGGAAAUUGCCCGGUAGAGGGGGAUAACCAUUGGAAACG
rnacentral:rRNA from 1 species